AAGGGAUUGAGCUAUUCAGAAAAGCAACUUGAAAUAAUCAAACAUGAUGAGUUUCGUUGCAAAGUAUAUCAGUGUCCAUGCUGUGAUUUUGGGACUGCUGCUAUCUCAGGCAAUCCCAUGCAAUGUGACGGGAAUGUGGCGAAAUGAGCUGGGCUCUGUGCUUGAUAUUGAGGCGAUCGGUUCUGAGCUCCGAGGCCGUUAUUAGAGUGCAGUGGAGACUGCUCCAGGAGUCACGGGUCCAGAGCAACAGGCCAAGCUACUGGGUGUGACUAGUAAUCGGGGUCUGCAAACCUCUGUGGCUUUCUCUGUGUUAUGGGAGGCAGGUUCCUGUAGCUCUUGGGUUGGUCAGUGUUUCCAACUGCCUGAUGGGAAGCAAGUGCUGAAGACACUGUGGAUGCUGCGCUCUGUGGCUUCAUGCCCUGCAGAUAACUGGAAGAGUACCAGGUAGCCUACAG